CCUGCCUCAAAGUGGGGAAUAACACCGGGAAACCGGUGCUAAUANNGCAUAUUCUGACGAGAUCUGUGGAUUUUGUCAGGAAAGGAGCAAUUCGCUAUGAGAGGGGUCCGCGGCUGAUUAGCUAGUUGGUGAGGUAAUGGCUCACCAAGGCUUCGAUCAGUAGCCGGUCUGAGAGGACGGUCGGCCACACUGGAACUGAGACACGGUCCAGACUCCUACGGGAGGCAGCAGUGGGGAAUUUUUCGCAAUGGGGGAAACCCUGACGAAGCAAUGCCGCGUGGAUGAUGAAGUAUCUCGGUACGUAAAAUCCUUUCGACGGGGACGAAGCCGCAAGGUUGACGGUACCCGUAGAAGAAGCCCCGGCUAACUCCGUGCCAGCAGCCGCGGUAAUACGGGGGGGGCAAGCGUUGUUCGGAAUUACUGGGCGUAAAGGGUGCGUAGGCGGCUUUCUAAGUCGGAUGUGAAAACUCUGGGCUCAACCCAGAGCCUGCAUCUGAAACUGGAGAGCUAGGGUUUUGGAGGGGAAAGCGGAAUUCCAGGUGUAGCGGUGAAAUGCGUAGAUAUCUGGAGGAACNCCGGUGGCGAAGGCGGCUUUCUGGACAAAUCCCGACGCUGAGG
rnacentral:rRNA from 1 species